UACGGAGGAUGCAAGCGUUAUCCGGAAUCAUUGGGCGUAAAGCGUCCGCAGGUGGCAGUUCAAGUCUGCUGUCAAAGACUGGGGCAUAACCCUAGAAAGGCAGUGGAAACUGAACAGCUAGAGUGCGGUAGGGGUAGAGGGAAUUCCCGGUGUAGCGGUGAAAUGCGUAGAGAUCCGGAAGAACACCAGUGGCGAAGGCGGCCCGCUGGGCAGUGGCUGACGCUGAAGCGCGACAGCGUGGGGAGCAAACAGG
rnacentral:rRNA from 1 species